rnacentral:rRNA from 1 species
UAAGAAAGGGGCUAGCGUUGUUCGGAAUUACUGGGCGUAAAGCGCACGUAGGCGGCCUUGUAAGAUGGGGGUGAAAUCCCCGGGCUCAACCCGGGAACUGCCUUCAUGACUGCAAAGCUUGAGGAUGCGAGAGGUUAGCGGAAUUCCGAGUGUAGAGGUGAAAUUCGUAGAGAUUCGGAAGAACACCAGUGGCGAAGGCGGCUAACUGGCGCAUUUCUGACGCUGAGGUGCGAAAGCGUGGGGAGCAAACAGG